GGCCCGGUAGUGUAAUCGGUAGCACAACAGCUUUUGGAGCUGUCUGUCCAGGUUCAAGUCCUGGCCGGGCUA
rnacentral:tRNA from 1 species